GACGAACGCUGGCGGCGUGCUUAACACAUGCAAGUCGAACGGAAAGGCCCUGCUUUUGUGGGGUGCUCGAGUGGCGAACGGGUGAGUAACACGUGAGUAACCUGCCCUUGACUUUGGGAUAACUUCAGGAAACUGGGGCUAAUACCGGAUAGGAGCUCCUGCUGCAUGGUGGGGGUUGGAAAGUUUCGGCUGUUGGGGAUGGACUCGCGGCUUAUCCGCUUGUUGGUGGGGUAGUGGCUUACCAAGGCUUUGACGGGUAGCCGGCCUGAGAGGGUUACCGGCGACAUGGGGACUGAGAUAGGGCGCAGAAUCGUACGGGAGGCAGCAGGGGGGAGUAUGGCGCAGUGGGGGGGAGCGUGAUGCAGAAACGCCGCGUGCGGGAUGACGGCCUUCGGGUUGAAAACCGAUUUCGCCUGUGACGAAGCGUGAGUGACGGUAAUGGGUAAAGAAGCACCGGCUAACUACGUG
rnacentral:rRNA from 1 species